rnacentral:sRNA from 1 species
GUAGUUUACAGUUGAAGGAAUUGACAAGGCUAAAGAUACCUGGAAGGGGAAUGGGGCACUUUGUGUCUUAGUAAACAUUGCCCCACCCCAUGCCCAUGCUUGAAAGACUUCCUUGGUAUAGAUUCCUAGAUUGCCUCGCAAACAGAAAGUUAGAUUCCCCAUUUCCCCCACUUAGACUUUGAAAACAUGCAUCAUCUCACUUUUUUAAAAUGGUAACUUUAUAAAUGAUAUAUUUUACCGGUAUGUAAAUUGGAAUCUAUUUUUCCACGAACAAAAAUAAAAGGUCAAGUGCAAUACAGGAUUACAUAAUAUCAGAAGAAGCUGUUAAUUUUCAACCAGCCAAAUAUAGUAAGGUUGCUUUUACAGUUGGAUAAUGAGCAGUGGCGUAGGAUGAAUGUUUUUCUACGAACAAUUGUUUAAGGAUUUUUUCCAUCAUUUUUCAUUUGUGAGUUUUUUCAGGACAAAAAUUUUCUUCCCAUAAUUUAAGUUGUACAACUAGUACAUUAAAUUUGCUAUAAAGUUGCAUGCAUUUAGUUAAUGACCCAUGAUGAAAAAAAAUUCAUGAACAAAUGUUGAAUCAAAAGUUUAUUAACCAGUUUGAAAGGAUUUUUAAAUGUUGUUUUUGUUUUUUUCAUGACAAGCGUAUUGAGAAAUACAUGUACUGUGUCAAAAUUCAAAUUGAAUAUUUUUUUCCUCUUUGGUGUAUGUUUGUCAUUAGCAAUUCUGUACAUAGUACUUAAUGUAUUAUGUAUUUUGUACAGUUCUUGUGCUAUUGUUAUAGACAUGUUGAUUACACUUCAAGCUGUGCAGUUGUGUGACCAAUAAAGUUGACCAAUAAG